UCCAGACUCCUACGGGAGGCAGCAGUGGGGAAUAUUGGGCAAUGGGCGCAAGCCUGACCCAGCAACGCCGCGUGAAGGAAGAAGGCUUUCGGGUUGUAAACUUCUUUUGACAGGGAAGAGCAGAAGACGGUACCUGUCGAAUAAGCCACGGCUAACUACGUGCCAGCAGCCGCGGUAAUACGUAGGUGGCAAGCGUUGUCCGGAUUUACUGGGUGUAAAGGGCGUGUAGCCGGGCUGACAAGUCAGAUGUGAAAUCCGGGGGCUCAACCCCCGAACUGCAUUGGAAACUGUAUAUCUAGAGUGUCGGAGAGGCAAGUGGAAUUCCUGGUGUAGCGGUGAAAUGCGUAGAUAUCAGGAGGAACACCAGUGGCGAAGGCGGCUUGCUGGACGAUGACUGACGUUGAGGCUCGAAAGCGUGGGGAGCAAACAGGAUUAGAUACCCUAGUAC
rnacentral:rRNA from 1 species